rnacentral:rRNA from 1 species
GACGAACGCUGGCGGCGUGCUUAACACAUGCAAGUCGAACGGAAAGGCCCCUUUGGGGGUACUCGAGUGGCGAACGGGUGAGUAACACGUGAGUAACCUGCCCUUGACUUCGGGAUAACUUCAGGAAACUGGGGCUAAUACCGGAUAGGAAUCCUUGCUGCAUGGUGGGGGUUGGAAAGCUUCGGCGGUUUUGGAUGGACUCGCGGCUUAUCAGCUUGUUGGUGGGGUAGUGGCUUACCAAGGCUUUGACGGGUAGCCGGCCUGAGAGGGCGACCGGCCACAGUGGGACUGAGAUACGGCCCAGACUCCUACGGGAGGCAGCAGUGGGGAAGAUUGCACAAUGGGCGGAAGCCUGAUGCAGCAACGCCGCGGGCGGGAUGACGGCCUUCGGGUUGUAAACCGCUUUCAGCAGGGGCGAAGCUUGUGGUGACGGUACCUGCAGAAGAAGCACCGGCUAACUACGUG